ACCACCCUAGAGAUAAGGGCUUUCCCUUCGGGGACAAAGUGACAGGUGGUGCAUGGUUGUCGUCAGCUCGUGUCGUGAGAUGUUGGUUUAAGUCCCGCAACGAGCGCAACCCCUAUUAUUAGUUGCCAGCAUUCAGUUGGGCACUCUAAUGAGACUGCCGGUGACAAACCGGAGGAAGGUGGGGAUGACGUCAAAUCAGCAUGCCCCUUAUGACUUGGGCUACACACGUGGUACAAUGGAUGGUACAACGAGUCGCAAACCCGCGAGGGCAAGCAAAUCUCUUAAAGCCAUUCUCAGUUCGGAUUGCAGGCUGCAACUCGCCUGCAUGAAGCCGGAAUCGGCUAGUAAUCGUGGAUCAGCACGCCACGGU
rnacentral:rRNA from 1 species